AUUGUCAUCUUUUCUCACCGUGGAAUUUGAGACGUUCAAUUCUUAUGCUCAAAAGGCAAAAAGUUCAGAUUCUUGGUUAGCAAGGUGGAAUCCGAUGCUGCACUAAGCCGCCGUGCACUCGAUUCCUAUAUAGCUUAUUGUAUGAGCAUCAUCACUUUCCACCCACAAGCAACAAUAUCUUUCGCCUCUGAGCUUUGGAUCUUGUUCUUCCAUACACAGAUUCUCUGCUUCAAGUUAGCAGUCUUCUUCAUGGAAGAUGGGAAAAAGAAUAGAAGUGGGACGAAGAAGAAGAAGAGCAUAGAAGUCGGGCCAUGGGGAGGAAAUGGUGGAAUCAGCUGGGACGAUGGGAGUUACCAUGGCGUGAGGGAGAUCACUCUUGUUUUUGGCCAUUGCAUCGACUCGAUCUGCGCGGUAUACGAUAAGAAUGGAAAACCUGUGGCAGCAGAGAAGCAUGGAGGUCAUGGAGGGGAUCAAUCAGCUGAGAUUAAGCUGCAGUUCCCGGACGAGUAUUUGGUCAGCGUGAGUGGCUACCACUGUCCCGUGGUUCAUGGAGGCAGCCCGGUCAUUAGAUCGCUCACCUUCAAGAGCAACAAAAGAACAUUCGGGCCGUUCGGGAUGGAACACGGCACGCCAUUUUCUUUCCCAUCGGAUGGCCGGAUAGUCGGAUUCAAGGGACGAAGCGGCUGGUACCUCGAUUCUAUUGGGUUCCAUGUGUCCCGAGCUCAACCGACAAAGCUACUUCAGAAGGUUCAUAGGAAACUUCAGGGACUUGCUAGCACCAUUGCUUCGAAACCUCCGAUGACAUCGAAGGACAGAGAGGGUGGAGGCCCUUGAAGUAUGAACGUGCAUAGAUGCAAUCGAGAAGCUGCUAUUCAGACUGUCCUUUUUCUCCUCUGGUUGUAGUAAAGAAUAUGAAGUUUUUAGAGUCAUCCGUUAAUUAUGUUCCUGUCUGAAAGAGAUCUAUCAGACAUUAUAUGACUAGAAAACCUAAGAGCUCCCUCUGAUUUAUAGAAGUAACUCCUCCCAAGACAAAGUUCACUUCAGCCACUCUUUCGGCCUAAAAGCAGAGCUUUCUUUCACUCCCAUGGGCAAUAUUUCUUGAUUAAUGAGGAUGUGGACGAGAUCAUUUAGCAAAAGAGCAUUAUAUGCUGGAGAACAUUAGGUCACUUCCCGGCUCAGUUGUUUCAUUUCCUCAACGUGCCCGGGGACGACAGCUAAAAAGCUGUCCGGAUUUUCAGCUUAGCUGAAAGAAGGCACCAGAAGACAGAGACCCAAAGCAGCUAAUCAAGUUACACAGAUAUCAAAUGUGCUCAACUAAUAGACCAAAUUACGAAUUUCCACUGCUCUACAAACAAAGGUAUGUUACCCGUGGCCAAGGACAAAGAAGUCGCGUCUACGUUCUCAUUCA